rnacentral:rRNA from 1 species
GGGGGGGGGGGGGGGGGGGGGGGGGGGGGGGGGGGCGGGGGGGGGGGGGGGGGGGGGGGGGGCUGGGGGGGGGCGGGGGGGGGGCGGGGGGGGAAUACAUCGGAAUCUACUUUUUCGGGGGGGAUAACGGAGGGAAACUUACGCUAAUACCGCAUACGACCUACGGGUGAAAGCAGGGGAUCUUCGGACCUUGCGCGAUUGAAUGAGCCGAUGGCGGAUUAGCUAGUUGGCGGGGUAAAGGCCCACCAAGGCGACGAUCCGUAGCUGGUCUGAGAGGAUGAUCAGCCACACUGGAACUGAGACACGGUCCAGACUCCUACGGGAGGCAGCAGUGGGGAAUAUUGGACAAUGGGCGCAAGCCUGAUCCAGCCAUACCGCGUGGGUGAAGAAGGCCUUCGGGUUGUAAAGCCCUUUUGUUGGGAAAGAAAAGCAGCAGGUUAAUACCCCGCUGUUCUGACGGUACCCAAAGAAUAAGCACCGGCUAACUUCGUG